rnacentral:pre_miRNA from 1 species
GAUUUCAACUGAAAAAGUAAUCAACAUCAAAGUUGUAUAACUCAUCAAUAUCUAUAACUUUUAUUUUGGUCAUUUCUUCAUCCAGUAAAGUGAUAGUAAUAUUGUUUAUAAAAUUUACAUCUCUCUCUUAUAGUUUAUAUAAUGUAUAAGAGAUUUGUAUAUUUUAUAAACAAUGUUACAAAUUGCUUUGUCGGAUGAAGAAAUGACUUAAAUAAAAGUUGUAGAUCUUGAUGAGUUAUACAACUUUGAUGUUGAUGACAUUUUCAGUUGAAAUC